ensembl:lncRNA
UUUAUAUUCAUGCGUUCAUUUAUUUUUAUAUUUAUUUAAACUUUUUUUUUUUUAAAUCUUUUUGCAUUUAUUCUUACAUUUCUGUAUCUUGUAUGAUAAGUAGGUGGGUGGUCUUACCAUCGGUUCAUUGUAGAUUGAAGUUUACGCUCGAUUAGUCUUCGUUUGUUUUGGAGUGACAUCGGGUCGUAGUUCUCGUAUAAACUACGGCGGACACAACUUAGCAAACGAAGUGGAGAGCCAUGCAUCAAAUGACUGUGUUAUUUAGAGUAGAGGUGCUUACUGAUGUUUUAGGACAGCUGUAUGCCCGUAUGCAUGUUGAAGUUCAGCCUGAAUUGUUCGGCUCUCUGCAAAAUAUUGCCCUGCAUAUUCAGGAUCUGUGCGAGUCAGAGGGUGCUACGGUUGAACGUCCAUCUUAUUCACUUCACAUAACUUAUCUCUCACUGCGUCAAACUGUCGCAAACACUGCAAAGUUGUUUGGUGUACAUGAAAGAACAAUCCAGCUCCUAGUAGCCUUAUAGCCAAGGGCGGAGAUUUGCAUAUGGAUGGUAGGGACAUAUCCCUAUCAAUAUUUUGGGAGGGCAGAAUUGUCCCUACCAAUAUUUGCGCGAACUCAUUCGUAUUAUCUUUGGAGUGAAGUCAUGUCAAUUCCACAGCAUACUCUCCCAGAAGCUCCAGGAUUUAGGCAUGCUAGCAUUUGAUUGGCUGAAAGGGAUGGGGGCGGGGCUAUCUAAAGGCUCACCUUACGUGCAAAUAUCAAGCUGCCAGUGUAGAGUACAGACACGCAGGCGAGGGCUGAUCGGCUGACAAUGCUAACUGAGUUAUCAAGGCUGUCAGCCCAUACCUCAAGCAUGGGUGAAAAAUGUAGUCUUUCAGAUGACUUUACUCCUUUUGCUCUAUUGCCUGCACGGCACAGCAUACAUAAAGUAUUUUUCCUGUGCCAACACAUUUUGUACUUUGUAGAUAUCAUGCCACCGAAAAAACGAUGAGACAUCAGGAGCUUUUUUCCCCCACCCAAAGAGUAAGUAAUAGUAAACUAACUGUCCAGCAGCCACAUUGAUUUAAAAUGAAAACCUGUUGGCGACCAAACGUCACCGGCCUUGCACUGCGGAAAGUAAUGCCACCUGAUGUUCGUUAACCAUGUUAGCUAGCGUUAACUAGCAAGCUAACCCUGGCUUCUGUCAUCUGCAGGCUAGCAGGUUGCUAGCUGGAACAUAAAAUAGGUGCACAUAUGAAAUUAUGUUGAGUUGAAUUUUAGUCUAGAAAUCCCAUGAAAAUGUCAUCAUUUGAUGAAUGAGUUUGUAUGCAGGAAACGCAGCAGCAGGCUGAAGUAGAGCAGGAUGAAACAGCUGCGUCUUCAGGGUUUCAGUCGUAUUGCUUCGGUUGAAGCAUGUGUAGAGCCCUGACCUCAACCCCACUGAACACCUUUGGGAUGAACUGGAACUGGAGCUUCCUGACAUCAACAUCAGCACCUGAUCUCAACCUCACUAACGCUGUUGUAGCUGAAUGAACACGAGUCCCCACGGCCACGCCCCAAAAUCUAGUGGAAAGCCUUCCCAGAAGAGUGGAGCACGUUAUAACAGCGAAGAGAGAAUACAUCUGGAACAUCUUUUCCAUACUGUGCAUUUAAGUACAGCUCAGCAUGCUUUCCAGCAGAUUAAGUCUCUUCAUUUGAUCGUGAAUCCUCCUGAUCAGGUGUUUGUAAUAACGAAGAUGGAAGGAAUCGAGGGGGAUGGAGGAAGUGAGAUGCCAAAAAGAUCAACGCUUCACAUUUACUUUUUACAUUUAUUCAUUUAGCAGACGCUUUUAUCCAAAGCGACUUACAAAUGAGAAAAUACAAGCAAAGCGAUUAUCAAGCAGAGAACAAUACAAGUAGUGUUACCAUACAAGAUCCAUUAAUUGAGUUUGAGAAGAAGCAAAGUGCGCAGAGUAGAGGUGUAAGUGCAGAUUUUUAAAAAUGUAUUUAUUCAUUUAUUUAUUUAUCAUGGGUUGGUUAGAUGUUCACGGAAG